rnacentral:rRNA from 1 species
UACGGGGGGAGCAAGCGUUGUUCGGAUUUACUGGGCGUAAAGGGCGCGUAGGCGGCGCAACAAGUCACUUGUGAAAUCUCCGGGCUUAACCCGGAGCGGUCAAGUGAUACUGUCGUGCUAGAGUGCGGAAGGGGCUACUGGAAUUCUCGGUGUAGCGGUGAAAUGCGCAGAUAUCGGGAGGAACACCCGUAGCGAAGGCGGCACUCUGGGCCGGAACUGACGCUGAGGAGCGAAAGCGUGGGGAGCAAACAGGG